CCGUGCUAGGCGGGGAGGUAGCGGUGCCCUGUAUCCGCAAUCCGCUCUAGCGGGGCUGAACUCCCUUCCGAGGGGUUCCGCUCCGGUCGCUCCGUGGCUCGGGGCGUCGAUGGCUCGGGCCCCGUGCGGUGUCGGCUCGCGAACCAGGUCAGGUCCGGAAGGAAGCAGCCUUAAGCGAUAACCGAUAGGCGCAGCGGGGGCUCCCGGACCGGAGUCGCGAGCCGCGAUCGGCGCCCGGUGCGCGGAGUCUCGACGCGGGGUGCACGG
rnacentral:SRP_RNA from 1 species